UUAAGUUCAGCGGGUAUCCCUACCUGAUCCGAGGUCAAAAGUGUUAAAAUAGACUUGCUGGUUGCAAGUGAUUAUCAGAUAGAACCGCAAAUUGUGCUGCGCUUCUAUACCAAUACACUGGCUGCCAAUAUCUUUAAGGCGAGUCCAAACGCAAUGGAGAGGACAAACACCCAACACAAGCAUAGCUUGAGGGUACAAAU
rnacentral:misc_RNA from 1 species